rnacentral:rRNA from 1 species
CAGCCGCCACGGGAAAACGUAUGGUGCAAGCGUUAAUCGGAAUUACUGGGCGUAAAGCGUGCGCAGGCGGUCCGCUAAGACAGAUGUGAAAUCCCCGGGCUUAACCUGGGAACUGCAUUUGUGACUGGCGGGCUAGAGUAUGGCAGAGGGGGGUAGAAUUCCACGUGUAGCAGUGAAAAGCGUAGAGAUGUGGAGGAAUACCGAUGGCGAAGGCAGCCCCCUGGGCCAAUACUGACGCUCAUGCACGAAAGCGUGGGGAGCAAACAGGAUUAGAUACCCGAGUAGUCCCUGUCUCUUAUAC